rnacentral:snRNA from 1 species
GUGGAAUUCCACAUAUACUAAAAUUGGAACAAUACAGAGAAGAUUAGCAUGGCUCCUGCGCAAGGAUGACACACAAAUUUGUGAAGCAUUCCACAUUUAA